UACGAGUGCCUCAAGCGUUAUCCGGAAUCAUUGGGCGUAAAGGGUGUGUAGGUGGUCAUGUUAGUCUCUCGUUAAAUUCUUCGGCUUAACCGGGGGCAUGCGAGGGAAACGGCAUGACUUGAGGAUGCAAGGGGUCUGCGGAACUCUAGGUGUAGCGGUGAAAUGCGUUGAUAUCUAGGGGAACACCAAAAGCGAAGGCAGCAGACUGGGGCACGCCUGACACUGAGACACGAAAGCGUGGGUAGCGAAUGGG
rnacentral:rRNA from 1 species